CGCGAUACAGGGUGACAGCCCCGUACACAAAAAUGCACAUGCUGUGAGCUCGAUGAGUAGGGCGGGACACGUGGUAUCCUGUCUGAAUAUGGGGGGACCAUCCUCCAAGGCUAAAUACUCCUGACUGACCGAUAGUGAACCAGUACCGUGAGGGAAAGGCGAAAAGAACCCCGGCGAGGGGAGUGAAAAAGAACCUGAAACCGUGUACGUACAAGCAGUGGGAGCAUGCUUAGGCGUGUGACUGCGUACCUUUUGUAUAAUGGGUCAGCGACUUAUAUUCUGUAGCAAGGUUAACCGAAUAGGGGAGCCGAAGGGAAACCGAGUCUUAACUGGGCGUUAAGUUGCAGGGUAUAGACCCGAAACCCGGUGAUCUAGCCAUGGGCAGGUUGAAGGUUGGGUAACACUAACUGGAGGACCGAACCGACUAAUGUUGAAAAAUUAGCGGAUGACUUGUGGCUGGGGGUGAAAGGCCAAUCAAACCGGGAGAUAGCUGGUUCUCCCCGAAAGCUAUUUAGGUAGCGCCUCGUGAACUCAUCUCCGGGGGUAGAGCACUGUUUCGGCAAGGGGGUCAUCCCGACUUACCAACCCGAUGCAAACUGCGAAUACCGGAGAAUGUUAUCACGGGAGACACACGGCGGGUGCUAACGUCCGUCGUGAAGAGGGAAACAACCCAGACCGCCAGCUAAGGUCCCAAAGUCAUGGUUAAGUGGGAAACGAUGUGGGAAGGCCCAGACAGCCAGGAUGUUGGCUUAGAAGCAGCCAUCAUUUAAAGAAAGCGUAAUAGCUCACUGGUCGAGUCGGCCUGCGCGGAAGAUGUAACGGGGCUAAACCAUGCACCGAAGCUGCGGCAGCGACGCUUAUGCGUUGUUGGGUAGGGGAGCGUUCUGUAAGCCUGUGAAGGUGUACUGUGAGGUAUGCUGGAGGUAUCAGAAGUGCGAAUGCUGACAUAAGUAACGAUAAAGCGGGUGAAAAGCCCGCUCGCCGGAAGACCAAGGGUUCCUGUCCAACGUUAAUCGGGGCAGGGUGAGUCGACCCCUAAGGCGAGGCCGAAAGGCGUAGUCGAUGGGAAACAGGUUAAUAUUCCUGUACUUGGUGUUACUGCGAAGGGGGGACGGAGAAGGCUAUGUUGGCCGGGCGACGGUUGUCCCGGUUUAAGCGUGUAGGCUGGUUUUCCAGGCAAAUCCGGAAAAUCAAGGCUGAGGCGUGAUGACGAGGCACUACGGUGCUGAAGCAACAAAUGCCCUGCUUCCAGGAAAAGCCUCUAAGCAUCAGGUAACAUCAAAUCGUACCCCAAACCGACACAGGUGGUCAGGUAGAGAAUACCAAGGCGCUUGAGAGAACUCGGGUGAAGGAACUAGGCAAAAUGGUGCCGUAACUUCGGGAGAAGGCACGCUGAUAUGUAGGUGAAGCGACUUGCUCGUGGAGCUGAAAUCAGUCGAAGAUACCAGCUGGCUGCAACUGUUUAUUAAAAACACAGCACUGUGCAAACACGAAAGUGGACGUAUACGGUGUGACGCCUGCCCGGUGCCGGAAGGUUAAUUGAUGGGGUUAGCGCAAGCGAAGCUCUUGAUCGAAGCCCCGGUAAACGGCGGCCGUAACUAUAACGGUCCUAAGGUAGCGAAAUUCCUUGUCGG
rnacentral:rRNA from 1 species